rnacentral:rRNA from 1 species
CCUACGGGAGGCAGCAGUGAGGAAUAUUGGUCAAUGGACGCGAGUCUGAACCAGCCAAGUAGCGUGAAGGAUGACUGCCCUAUGGGUUGUAAACUUCUUUUAUAAAGGAAUAAAGCCUGGCACUUGUGCCUUUUUGCAUGUACUUUAUGAAUAAGGAUCGGCUAACUACGGGCCAGCAGCCGCGGUAAUACGGAGGAUACGGGCGUUAUCCGGAUUUAUUGGGUUUAAAGGGAGCGUAGGUGGGUUGGUAAGACAGUUGUGAAAGUUUGGGGCUCAACCGGAGAAUGGCAAUUGAUACUGGCAGUCUUGAGUACGGGUGAGGUAGGGGGAAUUCGUGGUGUAGCGGUGAAAUGCUUAGAUAUCGCGAAGAACCCCGAUUGCGAAGGCAGCUUACUAGACUGUGACUGACAUUGAUGCUCGAAAGUGUGGGUAUCAAACAGGAUUAGAUACCCGAGUAGUC